UACGGGGGGGGCAAGCGUUGUUCGGAAUUACUGGGCGUAAAGGGCUCGUAGGCGGCCAACUAAGUCAGACGUGAAAUCCCUCGGCUUAACCGGGGAACUGCGUCUGAUACUGGAUGGCUUGAGUUUGGGAGAGGGAUGCGGAAUUCCAGGUGUAGCGGUGAAAUGCGUAGAUAUCUGGAGGAACACCGGUGGCGAAGGCGGCAUCCUGGACCAACACUGACGCUGAGGAGCGAAAGCCAGGGGAGGCAAACGGG
rnacentral:rRNA from 1 species